GAAGAACAGCCAGUGCUCUUAACCUCUGAGCCAUCUCUCCAGCCCCCCCCCCUUUUUAAGUAUUUUUAAUCUGUUUUAGAAUUACUCUUUAGGGGAAGGGAGGUCCUCCUGGAUGUGCUAUACAAAUGUUUUCUUACUUUUUAUCUGGUUGUGUUUGUUCUCAGUGUUUUUGAUUCUGGCCAUACUAAAUUUUUUCUUUGAUUGAUUGAUUGGAUCAUUCUUUGUUUGCUUUUGAGACAGGGUCUCAUUUUAUCCCUGGUUGGCCUGGAACUCACUAUGUAACCCAGUUUAUUCUCAACUUCUGACAGUUCUCCUGCCCCAAGUACUGGGAUUACAGGUGUGAGUCACUAACUUUUCAAAUUAAAUUGUAUGUCUGUAGUCAGACUGCUUGAGUCUUUGGUCCUUACUGCCUCUAUGUCCUAGUGGAGUGCCCUGCCCCGCCAGGGCUGAGAACUUGCCAGCUCUCUCUCUCCCUUGGGCACCUUCGAGGCUGCGCAUUUGGAUCUUGAUAUGUUUGGAGCUUAUUCUUGUGUGUGCUCCCAGGUGGGGAUCUGAUUUAUUUAUCUCCAAAUGGCUGUCCAGUCCUUUAAUACUAUUUCUUACAAAGUCCAUUUUCCUCAAGUAAUUUUCACAUCUCCUUUAAUUGCACAAAGCCGCAUGCCUCCUUGAGACUAUUUUUGACUUGUGUGUGUGUAUGUGUGAAGUCCUUGGUCUGUCUGUCUUGUCUGUCUGCAUCACAUUUUCCAUUAUGGAGGUUUUAUGGUAGCAACUUGAAGAACAUAUCAUCCUGUCUCUAGUACUUGAGUGUUUAUUAGUUAUUCAAUAGGAAACUCUCUAUCAGUCUUCCACUUGGAAACUUGGUAUGUUUGUGAAAGUUACAAUUAUUUUCAUAUUUUUACUUACAGUGAACUGACAUUAUGUUUGCUUGUUCUGUCAGAAAAUAAGAACUCUUAGUUGGUUAAGUCUUCAUUUGUGCCUUUUCUGGAAUGUUUUAAAGUUUUCUUCUGAUGGAUUUUACACAUUUCUUAUUACGAAACUUGCCUUUUUUUCCACUUAAUAUUGUGCCGAGCAGGUCAGUACAUGUUGACCUAUUUUAUUUUGUAAAAUGAAUCCAGGGUAGUCUGCCAUGCCCUAAUUUGAUUUAACUUUGCCUCUGUUGAUGUAUGCAUGUUACUUCUGACUUUUCCCUUUUUCUAAGCAGUUAGAACUGAAAAUGCUUAUUCAUAAGCCAUCUGGAUUUGGGGGUAAUUACUGCUGCCAAGUUAUCCUCUCAAACCAUUUGACGAAGUCAUGCAAACUUCAGUGCAUAUGUAUAGGUCUUCAAACUUCCUUUUUGAAGAAAAGCACCAUAAAAAUUACUCCCAAAAGUUGUGUGUUGAUUAACAUGGAUAACAGACAGUAGCAGGGGCUGGGGGUGUGGUUCAGUGAUGCAGUGUGUGGGACACCCUGGGUUCAAUUGCCAGAGCACUACAAAUAAUAAAGGAGCAGAAAUCACAGCUUCUACCUUCAAUAACUGGAACAUAGUCUUGGGCAUGACAUUUAUAUAUAUUUGAAAGUAUGAAAAGUUCUCAUGUAAGGAGACCUUGAGUCGAGUUCAAAAGAAAGUAUUGCUGGGUCUAGUGACAGCACUCAAGGGGCAGGAGCAGGUGGAUCUCUGAACUUGGACUGCCCAGCAAGUUCCAGGUCAGCCAAGGGCUACAUGAUGAGACAUUGUUUUAAUAGCCUCCUCCUCCCAAAAGAAUGUACUGAACAUAGUUUGUUGUGCUAAUGGCAUAGGUUAAAUUGACCUCACUUUUCAGGUGACAGUAACGUCCUAGACUAAAAUGGUGUCUGUAUGCAAAGACAAGGGGAGGGCAGCAGUUGACCGAUGACUUUGAGGUGAGGCCCAAAGAAACACAGGUUUUCUGAAGGUAACAGAGCAUCCUCAGAUUCAGAGAUUGGAGUUAACAGAAGGCUGAUUUUCUUUAGCUGUGUGCUGGGGUGGGGAUUCAGGGGUCUCCUGAUAUUAAGUCACAAUGUUAGGUUUCAGGGCGGUGCCCCUCUGGUGCUGGUGGCUUGUGGAGAACUCAGUUUCUUCCUGAGAGCUGGCAGCGCCCCCCCCCCCAUGGAUCGAUCCUGUGAAACAAGGCAGGUGCUUCAGUGCCUUUUGAUUCCUUUAGAAAGCAUCCGCUGUUACUCUCCCCACAUUACUUUGAAACAAGCUGCAAGUCCAGCCCACGUUCAGGAGCAGGGGGACUAGGUUUCACAUUUUCAAGAGGGGAAUGUCGAAGAAUCUGGGAACAGAUUGUGAAACCUACACACUGUCCUGUCUGUUCUAAAAAGGAGGAGCGACGCUAACAUUUGGAAAGGGAAGAACACACUCCUCUCCCACCCCCAUUCCCCUGAUAUCUGAGGAAGAUCAAGCUGGUCAUAGUUAAAGGCAAAUUGAAGCGAUGGCUCCCAGUGUGGUGCUGAAGCCACCCGAGGGUCAUAGGUUCCGUUGAGGGCGGGGGGAGUUGGGGAGAAGUAGGGCAGGUGGAAGGAAGGAGGGAGAGAGGUGGCAGAGUGAUGAGCGAAUGAUGAAGAAGAGCAAGAUCAAGCAGGUCAGAACUGGCGAGGGGGCAAGUUCUGAGUGUAGCAUUCAAGGGACGAUUCACAUGGAGUUGAAAAUGCACAGCCAAGACCCAGAUUGAAACCUCUCACCAAAGAGGCCUUGCAUUGAGGGCCAGGCCAGGCGAGGAAUGGGGGCUGUAAUUGGGAGCAGGGUUGGAGAAAUGGUGAAGGCAGGAGAGAAUCCGGAGUGGUCCGAAGCCCUCAGGUAUUGGGGUUUGAAGACAGCUGUAGUGAAAGUGAAAGCAUUUGCCCGCAGGAUUGCGAUGGAGACAGCCAUUUUUUAAGUGGAGUAGAACAACUUUGGAAAUUGGAUUAUCACAUCUGCAUGGAUGCUCAACUUGGAAGGACAAGUGGCUGGCAUUCAGGGAGUUCCUUUCUUUGAUGUUGACAUGUAUCUUCUGUCUUCCUGAUUCCUUUUAGAACCACCCUGCAUCCCAGGGAUGGUGUCCUCACUCACUCUCCGGAACCUUUGAACCAUAAGUGAAAUCUGUUUACCUUCUUAGGCACCCCACACACACGUCCUGCUUCUAGCUGCCCUCCACUCUUCCUUGAAAUGUGUGUAUUACAUGUGUGCAUGCUCAACUCAUGUGGAGGUCAGACAAGAACGGUGGCCAUUGGUUCUCUGCUCCUAAGUGAGUCAGGUCACUCUCGGGCUGGUGGCUCCUUUGAAGGAAGGGGUAAGACAGAGGCAUUUAGCAGCCCUACAUUUAAUGUUGGUAAACAGGUAUACGCAUGUGUACCUUCCUUCCCUGUGCACACCUCCAGGAUAGCAGUGGCAUUGAGGGCUGGAGACUGACUGGAGAGGUAGAGCACACAUGGUGUAGAGUAUCUGUGGUUGACUGAAGUUGAGUAACACAGAGUUGCUUAUCUGAAGUGUUCUGAGGCAGAUGUGUCAGGGAUGGUUUGGGAACCCAGAAACCAGGCACAGUGGGGAACACAGUCUUCAGCCCAGCCUGGUCAAAUGUAUACUGUGUCCUCAUGCCCAGCCUGCUCAGGUAAUUUGCAGCUACCUUGCUUGGAGUGGUCUGGGCAUUCUGAGGUUUGUCUGGAGUCUUCUAGAAAAAAAUACACUGGGGAGAAACAGGGGUAGGUUUCUAAGGCACUGUGUGGCGCACUAUAGAGCUGGGGACUUUGAAAGUGCUUGGAGCUCAUGGCAGCAGGAAAGAAGUGAGGAAUGAGGCUGGAGAGGCCCUGGGUAGAAUGCCCAUGAUGAUGGGUCUUCAUUCCCCCUGCUGGUAGUGAGGAAUUGUGGGAAGCUUUAAAUUCAAAGGAAUGACUUAGGUUGGCUAGAGGACUUGAAAAGGUGGUGGCUCCUUGGAGCAGCCAUUGGGGGGAUUUAGAGAGAGCACGAGCGAACGAGAGAGGAAGUGGAUAUUUUCUAGUAACCAGGGCAUGGUAUAGGUUGAAGGCAGGGAAGUAAAGGAGUUGAAGAGUUCCUGAACUUUCUUUGAAAGAGUCUUCUUGCCCAGGAGCUAGAACUACAUCAUUCAAGACAAUUUAAGCUUCUUUUACAUAUCUGACUUUUUAAAAGUUAAUCACUGUGCGUUAAGAUGUAGUGUUUUCUGUCUUCACACCAACAGGUGGCCUCAUAUACGUUAGCUCUCCCUUAAGAUGACUCAAUGUCUGGCCUGUGGUGAUAUAUUAGUUAUGAUUUAUUAAAGCUUGCCCGAGGAUUCAGAAAGCAAAGCCAGCCUCAAGCUAUAGAGGUCAGGCAUUGGUGGUACACACCUUUAAUCCUAGGACUCAGUAUGUUUAAGGCCACGAUAACUACACGAAAUUGAUCCAAUCCUAAAAGAAACAGCUCACACAAAGGUGAUCUCAGCAACUGGGAUCACAUGUGUUUAACCCUAGCACUAGGGAGGUAGAGACAGGAGUGAUAAGGCUGGGCAGAGAAAGGAAUAUAAGGAGGAAGAGACAGGCAUUCAGAGCCUUUUGCCUCUGCGGGUUUGUUGGAGACAGGAUUAACAUUUCAACUGGGUUAGAGGUAAGAUCUAGAGGUCGGCUGCUUUGCUUCUCUGAGUCUCUGGGUCUUUUAUUUAUUGUGCUACAGUAGCCUUUUGUGAAGGGCUUGUUUCACUUUGCUUGGUGUCUUAGCAUGUAUCAGAAUUCACCUCAAUAUUGUUUGAGACAGAUUCUCAUUAUGUGGCCGGCACUGGCCCAGGACUCCCCAUUCUCCUGCCUUAGCCCUGCAACUGCUGGGGUCACAGGUGUGCUUUUAAGGUCACUCCAUUGUCAGCAAAUGUAUCCAGCCUCAUGACAUUAAACAGUUCUACUUUAGUACUUAGCCUUUAAAAACUUAAUCGGGGCCGGAGAGAUUGUUCCGUAAUUAGGAACACUUGCUGCUCUUGGUUUGGACCCAAGUUUGGUUCUCAGCACCCACAUAGAGACUCGCCACCAGGUGGAUCACAACUAGUUCCAGGGAACCUAGUACCAGCUAUGAUCACUGUAGGCAUCAGGCACACAUGUGCUCCACAUGCAUAAAUGCAGGUAAGACUUAUAAAAACAUGAAUCGUUAAAAGAAAAAGUUAGAAAUCAAAACAGCAUCAGACAUUUGCUCCAGAUGGAGAAUUAGUUGUGUAUAACCAAAGCAGCUCGGUCUUUGGUCUGUUGUGUGAUGUUUUUGUCGAAUUUAGUUCUGAUGUAGCUGUCAGAACAAAGUUGAGAGAUUUGUAGGGUAGUUUUAAGAAAGAAACUACUUCUUUUAAAAAGGAAAAAAAGUCGUUAGUUGAGGGGGGCAGGGGGAGGAGGGGAGGGAGAGGGACCUGGGAUUGACAUGUAAAAUAAUUUUCUUUCUAAUAAAAAAGGGGGAAAAGUAAGAGGUUCUAUCAAUCACAGAAAAGAGAACACCCCCCCCAAAAAAAAACCCAACUCAUUUUUAGGGCUUUCCACAAACCAAAUAUUAUCCAAAUAAUCUAUGUUCAAGCCAAAAGCUAUAAUCUGAGAAUUGCUAUGUUGAAGGGUUACUUUUUGCUUUAAAAACAAAACAUAUUCUCUGGGUCCCUCCAUACUGUGCCAGUGAAAGCCAUUUCUCUUUGAAGAUCUGAGAGUGAUGAGCAUGAAAUCCAAGGCUGCCGAAGUAGGCAAUCCUGAGAGAGUACCCAGUGCCAUUCUCUGAACUGUGGUUGCUCCACCAGGCCUGCUGGGAGGAAGCUGGGCCUUUGGUGUAGUUAGCAGCUGGCUUUGUGUGGGUGUCUCUGUUCAGUGUGCUGCUUUGGAACCUGUGAGAGGCCUGCUGGUUGAGAGUUUUAUCGUCAUCCCAUGACCAGUUGUCAGAGAGAACUGUGGUAUGAAGCUUGUUGAUUUUAGAGAGCUAUUCUCAGAAGCCCUUUUUGGAAGGAGAUAAAAGGCAGGAAGAGUACCAGCAGCCUGGCUCCGUCUUGAUGUGGAUGCUUUGGAAAAUGGUAAGUGGUUCUGUGGGACCAUCGAAGGGGAUCAGAUUACAGCCUACUGUAAAGGUAAAAACAACUAACAGUCUAUGACAGGGAUGUCACAUGUCCUGGGGUCUCCCUCCAAGCAGUCAUGGAGCAGAGAGAGUGUUUUCUCUCCACACUCCUCCUUCUCUGAGAUGAAGGUUGUAAAACUUCUAAUCUGUCAGUGGUUCAUUAGUUCAGUUUCUGAGUGACUAGCAGAUGCAGACUCAUGAUUUAAGGCGAUUGUCUUGUUGAGACUGAAGGACUUUUGAAACAGCUAGUUACCACCUCUGGUGAAGGCUGUGACGACAGCUAGUUAAAUUCUAAGUGUCUGGUGAAAAUUUUCUCAUCUUGAAAGUCAUAGGCAGAGAAGGACACUUGACCAAAGCCAAGGCAUGUAAACCGUAGUCACAUGGUCCUGUGCUGCUCUAUUGUCCCUGGAGAAUGCACAUGCCAUGGCAAAGGAUAUUUUUAUAAUAUGCAACUUAGAUGAUUCUUGGAGUCAGGUGAGUGGGUGAUUCUGGGCAGAAAAAAACUGUCUUCAGCAAGAAGUGAGAAUCCAUAUUGAGGAGAACAGGAGCUAAGAGGCCAAGAAUACCCUCGGGCAAGGGGAAGAUUGCAGUGGGAGGAGACUGAGAGAUGACGUGGUGGUGGUGGAGAGAAGGCAUUUAGUCUGAAAGGACUAGACCUGCUACCAACAGGAAAAGGAUUUCUCUCUACUCCAGAAUUGAGACUUGCUUGGCCUGGGACUGGUGGAGAUGGACUGACUCCUAGGGAUUGCUAGCCAUGGGGGUUCAGAAGAGCCCCCCCCCAUGUUAGGCCUAGCACAAUAAUUGAGCACUGUGAGAUUAUUGUGCUUAAAGCAUCCAGACGGAUAGGACUCUUAUUCCAGGAUGCAUGCUAGUGAGUUUUUUUGAUUUAGUCAAGCAAAUUAGUCUGUUACUUACUGCAGAACACCAAGUCAGUGUUUCUUACUAGCAGACAAAAGAGCAGAAAAUGUCCUCAUAGAUUUUGUUUCCUGCGUAUUUAAUUAAGAUAGGGUGACAGAACCCAAGUGUGAAACCUUCCCAGGGGGCUGGCAGGAAGGUGGUAUGUUUUACACAGCCUUCUGCCUAUAGAUAAAGUUACUAACUGGCAUCUCUCACAACAUUGCUGGUUUGGCUCACUUAACCGCAGUGGGACAGAGGGUCAGAACUGAACAAGUUCAUACAUCCUUUGGGGAUGGGAGGCCAGUGUGACAGGCAGAAUGGAGUGUCUACAGCUAUGGAGUUAAAAGGCGUGUAGUGUGCAGGAUAGCUGUGGUCUUGCAACUGAGUACAGCUCUGUGGUGCAUGGGUUUCAGGAACUCUGAUUUAGCACUGGCUUUUGUCUUCAGCGUCUGCAUUGUCAUUGGCUUUUAUGAAACCCUUUGUAGUUUCAGUUGGAGAUGGUAUCACUUUUGAGGGAAGGUCAUACCUCAGCUAAUACUCAAAGUCAAUGUAUUUAGUCACAUGCUAAACACAAGGGUAUUUACAUAAGUGUGAUACUACAUGCUUGGGGGGGGCUCUCAGAACAAAGGGGUUUCUGGGCUGGGGAGGUCAGUAAGUAGGGUGCUUGCUGAACAAGCAUGAGGAUUGGAGUUCAGUACCCAGAACCCAAGUGAAAAGUGGUGGUCCGCACAGAAUCUCAGCCCUAGAGAGGUGGAGACUGAUAGUUCUAUGGGCUUCACUGGUCAGCCUCUUAAUUGGUUAAGUCUCAGACCAAUGAAGGACCGAAGAAGGAUAUUGGAGGCUGACCUCUGGCCUUCACACACGUACACACCCAUGAAGAAGGAACCAGGUUCAGGCUUGCUUCUGCAUUGUCUGAUCUAAUGGGACAGGUAGAGAGGCACUGUAUAUCAUUUGGCGAUUGAGAGCUCGGAGGGUACAGUAGAUCCUGGUCAGCUUCAGAUCCUGGUGUUGACACGUGCCAAAUGUUUAAGUUUGGAAAAGGUUUUCCUUCACCUUAAAAAGACCCACAACCGGCACGGGCCAACAGGAAGAUCUGUGCCUGUGCCUUAGGGUGCCAGAGCCUAAAGCAGAAGGUGGUUGCAGUGGGGUUAGAAGCCCCAGUUUCGUGCCUCGUUUGUUCCAAACAACAGAACUAGCAGCACCAGUCUGUGAACUCAGUGCUUUCUUAGGAGUCCAGAGACGGUGACUUGGUUGGAAGUUUGUUGUUAGAGAUGAGGGUUGGGGUGUUCUCUGUGUGGAAAGGUCACCCAGACUCGAUGGCUCUGCCAGAGGCAACCCUGAAAGACAGGGCAGAGCUAGAACAAAAACAGACAAGUAGUUAGUAUUUCUCAUUUUUCCUUGAAGUUAGAGGUUGAAAUAAACUUUUCCAGAAAUGACAGUACCUCAACUCAUGCAUUCUUGUAAUACACACACUUGUUGAGCCAGUUAGCUGCUCAGACCGUCCAGGUCUGGCAUACCAUGGCUCAUUGACUUCAGGAGCCAUGUUGAUGGUUGACUGCCACAUUUGUCUGGUCUAUAAAAAUUAGAAGGUUUCAGGAAAAGUGAAUAAAACUAAUAAUAAUUUGACAAAUUAGAAAGAAGCAGCAGAAUGGCUCGGUGGCUAAGCAUACUUUCCGCAGAGGAGAUGCUAUGGGGUUGCUGCAGUUCCUCCUUCCAGAUCCCCAGGUAAAGUUCCUGUUGUACUGACCCUGGCUUAGAGCCAUAUGAAAGGGGAUUUUGGGAAUUUUUUUUUUUUAACCAAGCCAACCCCAACACAAAACCCCACAGUUAUGCUAUGAAAUGUAUUUUUUUUUACUUAUUGUUGUUUUGGUAACUGGAAAAGACAUGCAGAAUUAUUUCUGUUAAAAAUUAUCUGAAAAGUUUGUUGGUAUAUCAAAUAAAUUCGCAAAUACUUAACUUGAUUAUAUAAUUGUUUUCUCUCAGCAAACCUUAUCUACUUCUGAAAUGGCAUACUAGCUUAAGAAAUGGGACUGAUUUGAUCAUAUCCUCAUCUCCUGAAAGCAUGUCUUGUAAUUUGACAAUCAGUUUGAAUAGCAUUAUGCAAGGUUUUCUGAAAUUACCCUGUAUAGUGCCAUCUAGUGGUAAACAAUUUACUUGUUUUUGGACAGUAGUUCAUAUUGUACUUUUUGAUAAACUAUUUAUUUCACUUCUAAUCAUUAUUUAUUUAUUUUAUUUAAAGGGACUGUCUAAACCAAGUAUUUACAGAUGGAAGGACUAGAGAAGGAAAAACUAACUGGUUUUUCCUUGUACAGCAAUACAUGCACACAUAGCGAGUUGUCCUUUGUUUAACCUAACAACAUUUGGGCAUAGGCAUAAGACCCUUUUUUGUUUAUGAAAGCCAUGUGCUUGUUGCAGAGGUACAAUGUAAGAUACAUGCCUCGGCUUUGAAAUCAGGCGUGCGCAAGCCUGGUGUUCUAUAAUUGCUGUCUGCCAAGUGGUGUUCAGUCCCUUUUGUGUGUACCAGCUCAUUAACUAUUCACGGACUUUGAUUUCUCAUGAUGGGAUUUACCUUUGCUGCACACCCAACCCAGUGUGCAGAGCCCCUCCACCCUCUUGAUUGUGAUGAUAAUUAAAUUUUUGCAUAAUGCUCAGCAUUUACAUUGUGAUGACUUGAAAUACAUUAUUCGCAACCAAGUGGUAGGAUCCAUAGUUAGAUUUUCUCUCCAUCAUAGUUUUAUUUGUUUGUUUUUAAUUAGCAAUUGUGUUUGGGGGCAGGGUUUAUCUAGAUGUACUUAAGACUUUAUAGUCAUUCCUGAACUCUUCCCCAGAUAAUUAAAAAAAAAACAAAAACAAAAACAAAACAAAACAAAAAAAACGUUAUUUGUGGUCCUGUGAAACAGACACUUGAGGUUUUGUGUUGACCAAGUCACUCGGGGAUAACAGUUGCUAGCCAGCACUUGGCCACUGUGGCCCAGCAGUCUUUUGCCUAGUAGCUGUGAUGUCUUUGUUGCCUCCAAGAAAGGUUGUGGGUCUUAGGGUCUGGCUGGAAGUAGGGCCCUCUCUGUGUGGCGAAGGCCUCAGUCAAGCGUGAUGGGGGUUCUGCAAGGCGAAGGCACUAGUCACUUUUGAUAGUGACUUGCUAUAGAGAAAUAGAGUGGGUGAAUUUUCUGGGAUUGCAGUAGAAAGGAAAUACACAAGACAGGAACAAACUAGUUCAAAUCUUGUUUGAAGCCUUCCUGGGGAGGUAGCUUCUUGGGUCUGGUCAGGAAAUGGCAAAGGAGACACACACAGUGGUGUCUUCCUUGUCUUCCUCCUGGCUUGGUUUGCUCCAGCAGUAUCUGAGGUAUUACUCUUGGGAUCAGCAUUACCCGUGUAAAAGAAAGGAGACAAUAGGAGUCUAAGACGCUUAUGUUAUUUUAGUAGAAGUAUUGGCUGCAGAACUGUUUGUCUGUCCGUAAGACACAGAGGCUGUCAUUCUUCAUGGCGAGCACUAGGAGGCCACAGAGGCCCGACUCUGGACACAGGUUUCACAUAGGGAAGAAACAACAGCAAACCCUAGGGAAAGCAGCACUAUGCUAACAGCUGAUUAGCUAGUUUAAAGAGGUUGGUAUUUCAUGAUGCAAUGAGGAAUAGUCUGAACAUUGUUUUGUGAACACAGUUUCUUGGUUCAUUCAGCAUGCUGUUUGUAAAUAGGAUGAGCUGAGCAUUCUGUUUUCUUAGAAUGGUGCUUUGUAGUCAAACCUCUAGAUACAGGCCUGAUUUUUAUGCACAGAAGUUGGAUGUCUGAUGGACCAAACUCUCUCUGUAUUCCUCCAGUCCAUUGUGUGGAUUGAAAACAAAUACUUUCAUAAAAAGAAGCAGUUUGGGCCACAGGCAUUCUCAAAUCUUCUGGUUAACUAUCAGAUAUUAUUUCAAGCUUGAGCUUGUCCAUCCUCCAUUAAAUCAUUACUUCAUCAGGUGGUUGCUGAGUGUCUUUGGUCUCCAGGCCCUGCUGGCUCCUCUACUGAUAGCACGAAUACCUCCCCCCCUAAAGUUUUACCUUUUUGAUUUUAAAGGUAAAUGAACAUGUAAUGACAUAAUCCUCUUUAUUUCCGAGUUGCCUCCUUUAUUCACUACCUGUACCACCUCUGUUACCCUGAUCUCCUGGCCUAUGUAUUAUUUUAUCCGUACUAUAAUGAUUUCAUGUACCUGACAUUUCUCUUUAUUAAAAUUGUAAAUGGCCGAAUGGUGGUGGUGCAUGCCUUUAAUCUAACCAGCAUUCAGGAGGCAGAGGCAGGCAGAUCUCUGUGAGUUCGAGGCCAGCCUGGUCUACAGAGUGAGUUCCUGGAUGGGCUCCAAAGCAAUACAGAGAAACCCUGUCUCAGGAAAAAAAAAAAAAAAAGAACAGGCAGUCUUUUAUUUUCUAUGUUUCCUGGUAGAACAAAGUGUAAUAGUAAACAGAGGAGAAUACUUUCUUAUCAGUAGCGUGUCCUUUGGGUGGCUUUCCAAGCAUCCUCAUCCCUUCUCCCAGUCUCUCCUUCUUUUCUCCUUCUCCCCCCCUUUCUGGUGUGUCAUAUUUCUGAAAGGGGUCUUGAAGGUAGCUCAGUUGAUAUGGUGUUUAACAAGGCUUGAAUUCAGUCCCCAGAAACAAAGCCAGGAUGGAGGUUUAGGCUGCUGAUCUCAGCAAGGGGAGGGGUCGGGAUGAGGAACGACACUGGAGGUUGUCCUCUGAUGUCCACACACACAGACUGCUUGCACACACAAGCACAUGCGCACACACAUAACAUACACAGAAAAAUUUGAAAUAAUGAGUUUUCUGGAUGCUUUGGCAUUUGUCCUUAAUGUUUUUUAUUUUUCACUGUUUUAUAUAAACCUCUGAUUUCUGGGAGGCAGAUUACCCGAUUUCUCUUCAUGGUUUUAAAGGAUGUUUUGGGGUCUUUUCCUUAGUAAUCUUAGGGUGCACGUCUUCAAAGACUCCGUACAGAUUUUAAUUAAAGUCAGUGAGUCCAAGGUCAAGGAUGCUUGGUUACUGACCUCUGUUUAUGGUAUUAGGAGGAACUGCAUGUGAAUUCUGAAUUCUUGAUGUGAUGUAACUGUGAGUUCCCUAGGAGAUGCAAAAUGGGUGUGGGACUUUGGUGGGAACUCAGAAAUCUGUCCAGGACCAGCAGAGGACACACUGCUUUCGGUUUGGAAUAUGAGGCUUCCAAACCAGCAUGUUGUGUGUCUCCACCCUUGAGAUCUUCCUUUGCUCACUUUCUUAACGCCAGAGAGAUUAGCUCCUGGACAGACAUGUGGACUCCCCCACCACCACCACCACACACACAGAGAAGUACCUGAAACUAUUCUGUUCCUCUGAGCCCUGUGCUGGCACACUGUACUGUGUUCCAGGAUUUGUGAGCAGGUGGCUGUGUGUGUGUGGCCUUUGGUAAUUGGGUAGCUCACAAUGUGGCUUGAAUUCCCACAUGGGCAGUGUGCAGGAUGUCCAAACAAAACACAGAAAGGCAGUGUUCACUGGAGCUGACUGACCUUUGCAGUUCUCACCACACUCAAGUUCUGAUUUUUAACCAUUAGUAGAUGAGUUACAUUUUCACGAACUGUAGAUAAUAUUAAUUUGGACAUGAGAUAGCAUAAUAUACUACCUUUUUUAAAAACGUCAUAUCUCUGAAUCUGUUCUGUUUUACUGUGUAGACUUGGCUGGUUUGGAACUAACUAUAUAGGCCAGACUGGCUUUGAACUCAUGAGAGGUUGGCCAGCCUUUACCUCUUGAGUGCUGGGAUUAAAGGCAUGCAUCCCUACACCUAGCAUGAUACAUAUUAAUUAAUAUAUAUUAAUCUCAAAAUGACUAUAUUCUACCACAGACUUGUACUGUCCAAUGGGUAGGUAUUUACUAUUAAGAGUUGACUACUAAAGUUCAGUCUAGUUAAAAAUCCAUGGCCACAAUAUAGCUCAAUAGUAAAGUAUGAGGCCCUCGAUUAAGUGCACAGUCCCAGGCAGUCAGUCACUUCUUAGUUACUCUAAGCCGUAUAUGGCUACCAUAUUUGAUAAUUACAUAAUUCUUUCAUCAAUCUAAGAAUGUGAUUGUACAUUGUCUGGGUUUUAUGUAUCAGAGUUUUGCAUUUGUGCUGUACAUAUCAUAUCCUAUAAGGAAGACUGGAUAAGCCAAUCCGAAUAUCCCCAGGGAGAGUUCUGAAGACCCCAGUGUAUUGUUUAUAUGAUGAUGGGCUAGAAAAGUUACUUCUCAGGUAAGUACCAGGACAAGUCAUGCUUACCCUGAGACUUACAUCCCAGCAUCCCUAGGGAUAACUUUGCAAUCAGUUUUCUUUGUUGUUGAUGUUUUUUUUUUUCUUUGCCUUAUCUGGGAAUAUAGAGCCAAAGUUACUGAACAAUUGAAGUAGCCCCCUGGCAUGUAGAUCUGUGUGCUUUGUUCCUUUCUCUGCAGUCUCUGGGAACACCUGCCAGAAAGCCCUUUAGUUGGCUUUUCCAAAACACUUUAAUUUUCAAAAUAGUAAUUAAAGAACUCUCAGUGAUGGAGUUGACAGAACCCUUCAGGCCUUUCAGUGUUGCUAGGGAAAUUCAGCUGGGAGUCUAUUUGUGUCUUAGUCAAGCUGUGUAGACAGGGCUUGAAUAAGGAGGCUAGUGGGCUGUCUGGUGUCUUUUUAGAGGAAGGGGGUCCUUGUGGACAACACAGAAUUGAAUUCUUAGUUACCCUUUCUCAGUGGAGAAACACUCUCCUCUUUUCCAUUUUAUUCUGAAACUUACAGGCCAUUGUGAUACUUGUACAUUUCAGGCCAAAGAGUAAAAUAAGUUUUAAGCCGUACAUCAAAGGAAAGUUGUAGAGCUAGGCAUUCUAUUGGGCAAAGUUGUCGAAUAUAUUCGAUUUGGGGCUUUCUAGUUGCUGAAGUGAGAAGGAAAACAGAGCUGCCUAGUUUGUGUGUGUUGACAGCCAGAAGCUGGUAAACAUCUGCAGAAACCAAGCGUUUCCUGGAACUAAACUCAAGCAGACAUGCGUCACGUGGACCUUUGUUUAAAGAGUCUAGUGAAGAAUAUCUUCAACCACAGUUACAUAACAGGUCCAGGAGCACAGUGCAUGUGAAUUGGGUUCUCUUGGGGGUGACCAGGAAGCCCAGGGUGUGCCCUUACAAGGCAGGUGGGUGGAAAGGAGCUCAGGGACCUGAGGCCAGGGCCUGUGCUGUUUGGAAAUUACAGGAGAGAACUUUAGACAACGGAUUUAUUUUUCUGUGGGAUAGGAGAUCUUGCCAUUGUGGCUUUUCCAUAGCAUUCCUUCCUCUUCGCUCCCAACAAUCACUCCAAUGCAGAGAUUUUGUUUUGAUGAUUAAAGCAAAGAGCAUUUUUCGUGGACCCCUAAGGGCUGGCCUUUGCCUUCACAGAAGUCUAGUUCUCUUCAGAGUAAAGGGUGACAAUAGAAUCUUCAGUCUUUCAAAACUUGUAUCCAUCCAUUUUAUUUUUUUCAUUUAGGCUUUUGUAACACAUUAGCUUAACCGUUCAUAACUAAAGUGAUAGGACAGAAACAGUCUUUUCCCCCCUUUAUGGGGGACAACUGUAGCCAGCUGCCCAUCUGAAAGAGUAUAAGAGAAGACCGUGCCCUCUCUAGAGUUGGCUAGGUAUGGUGAUUUGAAUAAGAAUGCCCCCCCCCCCCCGUAGCUUCAUAUAUUUGAAUGCUAGUCAUCUUAAAAGUGCAGUAGUCCUAUAACUGUGCCUUGAAGCUUAAUGGAGGAGUUUUGGGUUAAUGUUGUUGGCAGAGGAGAUUUGAAAAUGCCCUUAAGAGAUUAACAUUAUCCAUGGUCUUUUGUGUGGUGUCUUCAGAUGAAGGAAGGGACUAAAGUGCUCUGGGCCCUCUUUCAGAACGGUACCAAUCCCGGUCAUGGGUGAUACUCCAUCCUCAGGUCAUGAUCACUGCCCCAAGGGCUUGCCUCAAAUUCCAAAACUUUGAGAGUUUUCCUAAUGUGGAGGGUACAAACCCUGGCCUAUGAUAGCAGUGGCUACAUUUUUGGUGAAAGCAGCAUUUCUGGAAAGACCCUCAUAACUAUUUUAUUCUAAUAGUUUUAAUACAGUCAUGUGAUAAUUUUGGUCUAAUUUCAUUUUCUCUAGCUACUUAGAUACACUUUCUAUCUGAAGAAUAUACAGCACCUUCCAAUGCACCUUAAAGCAGAGACUACACGUACAUCAACUACUUGUUAGAAUAAUUUCAGUUCAGUCUGCUCCCUAGGGAGGGAAUUGUUGAAAUUUGGAGUUUGUUUUGAGCUUUGUGGUUUUAUUAUCAAUUUUUUUUAUUUUUUAGCGUUUUGGAAAUUAGUUCAAAGCCAUUGGAACGCUUCAGAUGGAACAUUUUUAAGCAAUAAAUCCCAUUUCCAAAAAAGAAGAGAUUGCCAUUAGUCUCAGAGACUUGGAACUUCAGGCGUUUUGGAUAGUGUUGAGACUGGGGACUUUUGAAAUUGGACUGAAUGUAUUUUGCAUUAUGGUACGCUCCAACUUAUGGAGCCCAGGGAGUGGGUGGAACGUGGCGGUUUUAACAAGAACGGCCCCUAUGGGCUCAUACUUUGAAUGCUAGCCACCAGGGAAUGGCACUGUUUUGAAAGAAUUAGGAGAUGUGGCCUUGUCGAAGGAAGCGUGUCACUGAGGGUGGCAGGAUUUGAGGGUUCAAGAGUCCAUGUCUCCCUGGGCCAAGGAUCAGGGUGUAACUCUCAACUGCUUCUCCAGCACCAUACCAUGCUGCCAUGCUUCCCGCCAUGAUGAUAAUGAACUGAACCCCUGAAAUUGUGAGCAAGUUGCAGUGGCUAAGGCUCUAGGGUACUGUACUGGCUGGUUUUGUGUGUCACAAAUAACCUCUGUGAAAAACAUUUUGGCUGAAGCAUUGACUGUUCGGAGUUAAACAUGGAGCAGGCACAGCCUCCAUUUAAUAGACCAUGCCUUGAGCCUGACAGGUUCCCCAACAGGCGCAAAGGGCACUUUCUUGUUAGUGUCAUCUGGGGAAGGGUCAGCUGAAAAGGUUAGUGUUUUCAGGUGAUUGACAUGAAAUUAAGCUUUGAAAAAGCACUUGUGAAAAACUUAAUAAUGAGAUCACACGACUUUUUUUUCUAGAAAAUACAGUGAGACUCAUGUGAGAGAAGACAGUUUUCUGUUAAGGGAAACAGUGGUGGUGUAUUACAGUGCACACCCAGUCUGUGAUCUUCAUAGUGUUCGCAAGUGUGAAGACAACUUUGCAACAUACUCAGUCACUUUUGUACUUUAAAAAUAAGCCCAAAGUUUCAAUCCAGCGUAUCAGUUAGUAACACCUUAAUUCUCUUUGCUCUGCUGUCUCUUCUCUGUCCGCCUGCCCUAUUUUUCUCCCUCCAUCUUGAAGACAGGACUUCUUACUGAUCCCAGGUUGGCCUGGAUGUAGCUCAGGCUGGCCUCCAAAUCAUGGCCUCUCACUUCCCACCUUCUAGACACGCCCCUGUGUCCAGCUUCAGUCUUUUGAAUGUCAACCCUCUGACUGGGGAGAUUGAUCAGUGGUUAGGGCACUGGUUGCUCUUGCAAAGGACCCGGUUUCAAUUCCCAGCACCCACAUGUCAGCUCACAACUCUCCGUGACUCCAGUUCCAGGGGAUCUGGUGCCCUCACAGAGACAUGAAUGUAGGCAAAACACUAAUGCGCAUAAAAUAAAAAUAAAUGCUGUCACUUCUGAAUCAAAAGUGUUGUUUCAUAGGUUGUAUGGCUAGAAACAGCAGAUUUUACCUAGUGAAGGGUCAGACUGGGAAAAAGUGACCAGGUAGGGCUACAUGAUGUGUGUAUUUUAAUGUGUCAGCCUAGGCUUGUGCUGGAAGGGAUGUCUUAAAACAGAAAGGACAUAAUUAAGCACAAAAGAUGGCUGGGUUGUGUCUCCCACCACUCCAGGGUUAUGCAUUAACUUGAUCUGAGCCCUCACUUUAGCAAACACAGAAGGAAAAUAAUGAAAUAGAGCUGAUUUCCUGCUAGGCUCCUGAUAGUUUCAUCUUGGUGUAUAAUACAGCUUCUUUUCUCCCACAGGCAUUUUGUUGCUUCUUAGGGUUAGAAGAACUGAGCUAGCAAGAGUCUGUACUGUCUGUGCCUGACAGGAGAAUUUUCGAAAAGCUCAGAGCCACUGGUUGCACAAAUACCUGACUCCAGUAGCUCAGGAAGACUAUCAAAGAUGGGAAGUCAGCCUGCAAGCCCGAAGUGAGAGCUCACUUGCAGUUCUCCCUUUAGCCUAGAGGUUUCCUAGGCAACCACUUAAGCAGUAAUUAAAGAUGAAGAACUAAAAGAAGCCCUGGAACUGCUCUUUCUACUUGGUCUCCCUGCCCUCAUGUUGUCCACACAGCAGCCGGAUCUUACAGUGCCUUCCCAGAAGACCUCUGUACUCUGCCACUGCAAUAAAAGCCACAGGCUCAUAGUGCCGUAAUGUGAGUUGCUCGCCAUAGCUAGGGAUGUCUGUCCCAAAAUGUCCUCAACCUUCUUUUGUAAGCCUUUCCAAGAUCAUGUGGCAGUUCCUUAAUAAGGUGUCCCUUAACUGCCGGGUCUGACCGCCCCACUCCAGUUCACUUUUCUAAAUGACACUGAAUAUCACCCGGUGUGUUUGUUCAUUGUCUCUUCCUAGAAUGUCACCUCCUCCCAGUGCAGAUGUUGUCUUCAGUGUGUGUCUCUGAUGUCUAGAAGUGAGCCUGACCUAUUUUACACGCACACAAAGAUUGAAUGCAAUUGACUCUCUAACCCCAUGUCUAGAUACAGAUUUAUAAAUGGGUGGCGUGUGUGUGUGUGGGGUCUCUCUACUAGUUUGGUUUCUAAUCCCCUCACAUAAGAGAACUGAAAUGUAAAUGUGUAAAAAAUAACCACAGCUGUGAACCAUUUAAAACACUAGGCAUCCAGUUAAGAAAUGACAGUUGUUGAUUUGGGAGGCAAGUGGGAGGCAAACACAGUGGUCCCUUGCAGUGGUCCUUCGUGUCCCGGGGAUUUGAGAAAGGCAGCAGCAGGAAGGCCUUCUUCUGCAGUGCUCACACUUCUCACUGGCAGCCCCUGAGCUGUGGUGGCACCCUGAAGUGAACUCGGCCUUUUGAGUAUGUUUCCCAUCAUUGUACCAGCUGAGGACGUCCUUGGCCAAGUGUGUGUUUUCCUUUUUGUUGAUGGUGUUUCUUAGUAACCUCUGCCAGAGGCCUCGCUGAAGAAUUGCUCCUCAAUCGUCUUGAACUUUGUGCUCUUUCUCCUUUAUUAGCUUUAGGUUUAUUUUAGCCAUAGAAGUAUAGGAAACAGCAGUAACAAUAAAAAUUGAGACAUUAACAUACAUAGAGCCCUUCUGGCUCCUGGUUAUCUUGAAGUAAGGGACACCACAGGGAGGUUGACACUUGGUCUUCCCUGUUGGGGUGACGGUACAUUGGGUUCUAAUGGUCCUACAGCAUCAUCCAUUCAAGAAUAGAUCUGCUGAGCCCCUGUAGUAAACUGUGCCAAUCAAAUGAGCAGGUCCACCUCAGGGGCUGUGGUUUUUGUGAGAGAAGGUUAAAGAGAAAACUGCAGAGGGAGCAGGACCAGAGUGGGCCAAGUGUCAGCUGUGGUGCUUAUCCGAACAUCCAGGGUAAAAAAGUAAGUAUGCUUGAAUCCCCGUCCGAUUUAUGUUUUAUGGCGUUUCCCCAAGACAAGAAACUGGGAGGGAAUACGAGCUAGAGGCGUGUUCUCGUUUGUCCAGGGGAAGGGCAGUGGCAGGAGGGCCUGGGCUAGAGCAGAAGAGAAGGGCUGGGUUGUUAUUGUGGGUGGCUCCAGCAGGCUCACCAGACAAUUCCAAGGAUGGGUCCUCUUCUCCAAACUGCCAUAAGAUGGCCGUGUCAAGGAGCUACUUGGGUACUGACAGAACAGGAACUAUUGACCAAACUAGGCAGAGCUGCCUGGGGGUUUUGAUAGUCUGUUUUUCAUUACAAAUGAAUGCUGGAUGUUAUGACCUUGUUAGUGUGUUAGGAGCUUCUCUAUUGUGAGGCUUGCUUCAGCAUCCCACCACAGCUGGGACUAAGACAUGUGAGAAACCCUGGAGAAGGCGCCUUUGGUUCCUCGCUAGUCACAAACUUCCCAGGGUAAAUGUCAUUCGAUCCUUGCCUCAACAGUAGCAUUCCUUUUCGACAGACACUUUUUCUAUUGUGUUGAAUGUUUAGGUAACUCUUAAAACUGCAUAGCUGCAGUUACUUUAUAGGGUAGAGGGUGAGGUGCCUACAAAUGAUCUUCAUAGGCAGGGUGACUUGGGAAAGCGUAUCAAGGGCUGGCAAAAUGGUUUAACCAGUGAAGGUGCUUGCCUCUAAACGCAAGGACCUGAGUUCAAUCCUCCAGCCCCCCUUGGUUGGUGGAAGGAGAAGACCAACUGUUGCAAGGUGACCUCUUCACAAGCCCCUCCCCCACCCCGAUAUCGUUAAAUGUAAUCAUACCAAACAGAAGGACCCAGAGUGAGGAGAACCUCCGCUAAACCCAAAUCAUGGUGUCACAUAGUAUUCUUUGAAGCCACCAGAUAACUUGUUUUUAAUGUCCUUAUUACUAGUCAAUGGGGAGAUAGUUUUUUAAAUGGGUAUUUUUUCCCUUUAAUUUUUUUUUUAUGAAUGCAAUAAAGAUAGACAGCCUGAAAUGGUAAAUUAAGGUUCUCCUGAGUCUGGGAAAUAUUAAACAACCAUCGAAAACUUGUUGGUGCGCCGUUGUGAACUCUUGCUAAAAAUUGUGUCCUCAUCUUUUGCAGGGGGAAAAUGGUAGCAACUCUGGCCCUUUUAACGGAACACAGGAAAUCACCAACAACCAGGCUGUCUUGCAAAAAAAUAACGCUCCUGUCUCAGCUCAGGAAGCGGGCAGGAAGCUCAUGAGGUUCCCAGUCAGGAUGCAAAGACCGAGGCAGCCCUGGAGCUCCAGAUACCCAGCCCAGAAGUCACAUCACCAGCAUGUCAAUGGCUUGUGGACAUAGUCAUGGGAUAAGAAUGGACGUUAAUACAGAGUUAAGGACCAACACUGCAGCUGACUCCUUCCUUCUCUCUGUGAUGUGAGUAAGAAGCCACAUUUAUUGCAGAAAGGUAAGGGAUUCGGUCGCUGCAUUUCAGUCUGCAGCACAGAGAAAGGUGGAUGUGCUGUUAGCGCUUCUGGGAAGAGUGGUGCAUGCGCCCUGGGGCAUGAAACAUAAAGAAGUGAGGCUAGACCUGAGGUAGCUUAGGUUUUCUUUCUCGCAGCGUCAGCACAAUUGUGCCGCUGGUGGCUCUGCGACUAAAAGCAUGUCUUGAGAUGCUAAACUCCAUGACUCAAACUACAUAGCGGGCAGCUGACUUAAUUUUUUUUGUGUGUUGUUUAUCUGUAAAACAAACAAUGUUAGUGUCAUCUUUAUUGGACUACUGAGAAGAUGAAGGGAGUCAGUGGUAUGUCCAAUGUAUAGAACAUUCUGUGGCACAUAGCACGUACUGUGUGAUAGCUGCCAUAACUGUAAUUUAAUCCUGCUUAAUAAUUCACAAUUAACACUAUGUAAUGGAAUUGAAGUAGAUUUUUCUUGUUGGGUUUUUUGUUGGAGUUUUUUGUUUGUUUUGUGUUUUGUUUGUUUUUUAGCUUCAUCUUCUCUUAACAUCCACUAGGGAGAAUUUAUACAGGGUGAUUGACUGAAUAAUGACUUAGAAGAUACCUUUAGGAUCAGCGUUUAGCAUAGUGUAACUUGGUUUAUGGAUUAGUUCCCAAGAUAAGAAGGAUGGCAUAGUUCAGUUCUAAUUAAUUCUACAGGUGAUACACCCACUUCAUUUCAAGCAUAAUUUCCAGCCUUUGAUAGUAGACCAUUUUCUUUCCCAGAAAGGAUUGGAUUUACAACGUGGGAAAGUACAUGCCACACACACGCAGUUACGUGAGAGUGAUGAGCGCCAGCCUUUUUAUUCUGUUUUGUUUCCUUUUCUAAAAGUGCUGCUUACAUUACAAAUGGGUUACUGCAUGGUUUGAAGAACCCUCCGUUAGAUCACAGACUGGCUUCACAGGGCUCCAAAGGAGCAAGAUUGAAGAAAAAUAUAGCUGCCUUCCUUUCCCUAAGCCCCCUGCUGGCAGAACUGGAAAUCUACCACUCCACACUCACACUAGGUCCAUUAAUCAUUUUCAUAAGUAAUUUAAAAUUAGCAAUGCUAAUAGUAAAAGAUUUUUCAGAUGACAGUCUCCUAACUCCCUCCCCUAGAGAGUCUUACAGGAGGACCGAGACCUGAAGAGUCCUCGGCUCUACUGGGCUGCCCAAGGCUCUGGCCUGUGCCUGUUGAACCAGCCCCAUGCCUGUGGGAAGUUUGCCUCUGCUCAUCGUCGGACACCACAAGGCUGACCACACUGCAUGACACCAUUCUGAACCCUGCCCCAUGCUCUCACCAUCUGAGUCACCAGCCAGACCAAAUAGCUACUUCCCUGGAAGAUUGACAACCAGCUUCUUACCAAGCUUACCAUACAAGAGCCUUCCCAGAUUGCUUUGCACACAUCUUGGUCACAUACGUGGCCAUUCAGCACACCUGUGGUCCAUUGGUUUCUCCUGGUGCAGGGUGUAUGUCCAACACAACCCCUUUCUGCUGGACUUGGAGGAAUUUGACCACUGUUCCCUCUCUCCCUGAUGACCUUUCAAGCCAUAGUGUUGUUGAUCCCGUAUAUAUGGAGUAGGUAUACAUAUUCCAUCUGCAUUUUAAGUCUCUGUCUUCUCCUAAGAACAGUCAUCAGUAAACUGAGGAAGUUUCCCAGCCCUAGUGACUAAACCUUCCUACAUUUGCAUAUAGACAGCUGAAGGUCAUUCUUUGCAUGCUUCUCCACUGCUGACCCGCAUUGCACCACAGAUUCACACCUGCUCUUCACAACUCUUCACAGAACAUUGUGCACACAUCAUGAGUGAAGUCAGCUCCGUGGAAUGCCCUGGAUCCCCGAGAGUCAUUAGAAGCACUGUUCCUAAGGGAAGACGAACUCCAAUCCUAAACCAAUAGGAGCCAGAUCUCCUGUGGUCGGCUGUGGUUUCCUCUGGGCCGGGGAGAGUGCCACGGAAACAACGAACCCUGUCUAGUUUUGACUCUGCUGGAGCAUAGUGCACCCUGCGUCUUCUCCUGAGAUGAUGGGCUGUGAGGAGCUUACCCGGAGGCUAGCAAAAGAGACUUCCACAGGCCUCAGCCUCCUGUAGCCAAUGGCUUGCUCAGACCACAUAUAUUACCUUGUGCGGUUUCGCUCAUCAAGGGGAUUCCCGUCUUCAGCAGAACACAGCCUCGAGUCGUCCCUGGCUCCUCCAGAAAAGCAAGGGCACACAUCCUGCCCCCAGAAGAACUCAAGGUGUCCCGGGUAACAUGCCAACCAGAUAGGCGCUGUGGGGGUGGCUCCGAUGGAGGAAACCAAAACGGUUCUGAUUAGCAAGAGAGCCACCCAGUUCUUCAUGACCCAAACGAAGAGCCCUGCAACUCUCUGUCUCUGAAGAUUUCUCACCAACCUGUAAUGAGCGUUCUUGGAAGCAUGGGUGUGCUUCUGCUCUGUGACAUCUGGGGAAGAGGAAUGCAGGCAUCUACAGAAAAGCAUCCGGUUUGCAUGUCUGGAUUUAGCUGAAAGCAUAGGUCCACCAGCGAAAGAAAGGAUGGAGCAAGCGUGAGCAGCCAAUCCUUGUCAUCUCGUAGCACUUUCAUGCCUGUUUUUGUUGCCUUAUAUCAUAAGGAUAUCUGGUGACUUCUAUGGGAACCACAAGGACUUCAUCUUUCUAUUAUCUACUCUGCCUUCCACCACAGUCACUGGUCGACAAGUGACCAAUUAAAAGGACCAUCCUGCUCAUCCAGGAACAAGUGACAGAGGUCUAAGGUGUGUAAGGAAGAAGACAGAGGCGGCAGAGAUGGACAACUGCUGGCUAAGCUUGGUGACAAACAGGCCUGAAGAUGAAGGUUGAGUGCCAAUGGUCUAUCUCCCAAGUCUUGCUGCAAAGCUGUCCUUCUAGUUAAGGUAAAACAAAUAAAAUGUAAUGUGUGCUAUUUCCACAUUGAAAUAGGUUAGAUACUAGGAAGAAAUGACCUGGAGACCAAUAUCAAAGAAGGAGAGUAUAAAUGGUAUACUUAAUGUCUACAUGUAUGUCUGUGUGUAAUGAGUGUGUGUGUAAUUGUAUGAAUUUGUGUGUCUAUGUACAUACUUGGUGAAUGUCUGUGAUUGUGUGAGUAUGUAUCUACCUGCGAGUGAUUGUGUGAAUGUGUGUAUUUCAAUCCUGGGCCCAGGAUUGCAUACUUCCUGGUGGAGUCACAAACUCAUACCUUCAUUAGAAAGCCAAGCUAGUCCCCAGCCCCCUGUGCAUUCGUGUGUGUGUGUGUGUGUGUGUGUGUGUGUGUGUGUGUGUGUGUGUGCGCGCUGUUGGCUGCAUCCUGCUGUGUGGCACUGAGGGACAGACAACUUUGCCAGGCCUGUUUUGUAAACAAAUCUGUCAGCCUAGCGUUUUUCAGCCCUCUGUACAUUGGUUCUGCUUUUCCCACCAACAUAGAGACAUUUCGAAGCUUGUUUCCUUUUAGAAAUAGACAAGAAAAUUUGCACAUGACUGAAAUAGGCAGUCUACCCCAUAGAAGUCUUUGGGUUGUCACAAUUUUAAGCUUAGACCAUGAAUUCUGAAAGUGAAUUGCAGCUACUCCAGAGCCCCCCACCACCCUGGUCAAUGCUCAGGAGAAAAGGGAAGAACCUUUGCCCUCAGAGCUCCUUCUGGGCCAUAAUGGGAUUAGUCACCUAAGAUGAGAAAGUGUGAUGCAGGUUUCCCCAGAGUGCGUGAGUCAUCCCCUUGAUAGACGAGAGUACGAACUUGAAACAUCUACCGGUAGUCUCUACAUGGUUGAUUUAAUAUCUCAUCCAGGUUCAAGUUUUUAUGGCAGGAAAUGUGUGUGAAUGGUUAAGAUAGGAGUAAAUAAUACUUGAUCUUGUGACUAUAAUACAGGGAGGAACUUUUAAUACCAAAUAAAACUUUGGGUGGGGGAAAGUUCUGUCUUAAAAAUGUAGCACACAUCAGUUUUCCAGAAUCUUGCAUGUAGUUGUUACUCUGUCUUAAGUGAAGCAAAUAGCAGAAUGAGCUCUGUAACUUUCUUGUUAAUACCUUUGGUUUUGGAAGACAUUUUUAAGUAUUUUUCUGUGACCCAACAUGAUAUACAGAACUAUUAAAUGUGGCAGAGGAGGAGAGGGAAAUCAAAUCCAGGGCAUCAAACGUACUAGGUAAGCGCUUGGCUGCCAAGUAGUAAUGAUUCUAUGUGGGACGUUGUUGACCAAGUAGAGAUGUACAUGGCAUUGAAAUACGGGAUGAUACCUAGACCAAGGAGACUCCAAAGUGUCACCUUAGACACCAUACUUUACAGGCACUUGGGAAAGGCAAUUUUAUGGGACAGGAAGGAUGUAGCUGAGGAAGUUCAAAGGGAGAAGAAUUUUGUAAAACUCAAGUAUAUUGCUAGUCAUUGGGACUUCUUCUAGAGGGUGCUUUUCCUUGAAGAAAAAACAGGCACAAGGGAAGAGGGCAUUUUAGAGCUCCCACCAACCCUGCUCAUGCUUCCCCAGGAUGAAUGGACUGCAGAGAUUAAGGUGUCUAGUUCCUUAUGCAUUUGCAGCCUCUGCUGGCUGGGCUCUGUUGUCACUGAGCAAGGAUAUAGAUGUGAAGGCCCAGACUUGAGCCCCCUUCCUCCACCCUGCUUGAAAACGGGUCCUCUGAAUCCUUCUGCUUCUCAAAUGUAGUGUCUCAAAUCCAGCAGGUAAAGUUUGUAAGACACAUGUCACUGUGGACAGACUGACCUGUUCAUUCUAGACUUGUGUUAGCACUUCAUUAUUAGAAAUUUCAGUUAAAGAUUGUAGAAAACUAUGUUUGCAAGUGACAUGUUCAAGAAAUGGCCUCGUUAGGACCGCUCUGUGGCUUUUAGGCAGGUCCCUGGUGCUCUUUCACUGGAGGCGCACCUCCUUGGAGGUAGCUGGAGAACAAGUCAAGAUCAAGGUCCCAUGACUUGGAGUGCUGUGUCCACUAUCCACUGAUAGUGGCUCAGCUUAGGAAAGUCCUCAAGCUCCCUGGGUUCCCUUACCUGUAGGAUGGGGGCAGAGGUAAUAGACCUUAGCCUGUAAGGUUUCUCUGAGAAUAGCUUGGGUAGUGCCUGAGCCAGGCCUGUGUGUCACAGACAAUUAAUCUGGUCCAAAUAGAUUGGGUGACCUUCGUAAGAGCAGGUGAGCAAAAGGAGCUGGAACCCAGCUCUGGCUUCCUACCUGCAUGAGGCCACUGUGUCUCCUGUCCAUAAAAAUGCUGUGAAGAGUCCCGAGUGUUUGCAUUAUCUAAAGGGGAACUUUGAGCCAAUGUAAGUUUGGGGAGCACUUUUGUAUUGGGGUUUAGUUUGUUUGAAGAUGGUGGACCCUAUACACUUGAACAUUUCAUGUCCACAACGAUGCAAAAGUGACAACGAGACCUGGAUCAUCCUUGGAAUUCAGUCACAUUCUGAGUGUCCAGUCUACCCAGGUGAGCAUACCUCUCAAGGACUGCAGUGACCUUCAAAGCUGCUUUGUGCUUGGUGCAUGCUCUUUGCCCCUCCUUUGCUUCUGCUUAGUUGGACUUUGUUUUCCCUUUCUCCUAAGACUGCCCUGGUCAGCAAUCGGAGACAGGCCAGGACCAGCCACACAGCCGUUGAGAUCUGAGCCCAGCAUGUGUUCUACACUGUGUAGAGAGAAGCUUCCUGUUCCAAGAGGGGAAAUGAGAUAUUUGAGCAUUUGGGCCAUCCUCAGAUGCUUUUCCUUUCACCAGUGCAGUAGUGAUAGAAUUUCUAAAACUGUGGCUGUCUCUCCAUGUCCUUCUCUUUCCCUGAGGGCAUUCAUUGGGUCUCACGGAUGAGGGCAGAAGGGGUGAAGAAUGGUUUGGUCUAGUGAGUAUAUUCUCACCUCCAAUUAUAGAGCCUUUUGACGUGCCCUGACUUAUAAAUUAUAUUUACAUUAUGGAAAUGGUCCCUGUGCUCUUUAGCAAUACCAGUGUGAUAGAUAGCCUGGGAAUUAGCCCCACAGAAGAGCAGCUUGCCUAGAGUGUAUGAAGCCCUGAGUUCAAUCUCCAGUGCAAAAGCAAACAAGCUACAACAAAACCGUUUGUAAAACAAAAACAGUAUGUCCCAUCUUAAGUAUCCGAAAAUGAGGAAGAAAAGAGUCAGGGCAAACAUCCAAAGGCAUGCAGGUCAGAUGUGGUCUGUCUCCAUCAGCAACGGCCUACAGCAGACACUUGUGUUCCCUGCUCUGUGACUCACAGCCCCUCCCCACACCCAUCCCUGACACCUUCACCCAAAGUGAAGGCAAGACAAGCUCUUAAGCAAACGCUGCCCUUUCACCAGCAUGGCCCCAUAGUCUGCUCAGAACAAGCCUUCACCAGGAAUCGGAGCAGUUUUCCUUCCCUCCCCAUUUUGUCAGGUCGCCAAAAUCUCCCACUCUCUUUUAUGUUAAAUACAUUAAUACGUUUGUCAAAAUACAAAAUGUCAUAUUGUUGUCAGCUACAAAUAAUGCCAGUGAUACAAAUAAUAGUGUCAGGUGACAGGUGGACUGCUGUUAAAUGACUGUCCCCUCAGAUAGGUCUGAAAACCCCAUUCACAGACCUAGGGGAUGGCAGUGGAGUCUGGCGAAUGUCAUCUGAGAGGAAAGAGGAUUUCCAUGUUUGAAAUUUGGGGACAAAAACAACUUUCUCUUCCCUGCAAGGGUUAAUUCUCUAGCCAGCUUCAGAUUGGUUCUCUUGAAUCUUAAAAUUACUUUUCUGGUCACGCGCUCAGAAGGUCUACGAGUCUGUGAAUCACCCCCACCCCCACCCCAUGCUAUUCUCUUUGGCUGUCUUAAUUACACAGGGGUUGGGAAACCAAAUUAAAAUUAGGCGUGGCUGGGUAAACAGCGACUGCAUUGCAAGCUUUUAGCUUCACUGCUGGGGUGGUUUUUCCUCCCUCUGUAGCUUUCCUUUUCACUUCUUAUUUUUCUAAAGGAAAUAGCACAAGGUCUUUUGGAAAUACUCACAGGAAGUGGUCGCUGGAUGCUGGUUACUCACCAGCCCCGGAGUCCUGACAGGUGGCAGGUGUGUCUUCCUCUCCUGAUUUAUGUGAAAAUAGUCCCCAGAGGGGCAGGUGAAGGGCAGGCCUGGUGCACAGCCCAAAGGGCUUUUUGUCCACCAAGUGGCUUUCAUGAUGAGACUGGUCAUUGCAUGUCAUCUGGAGGGAGGGUGACUCAGGGAGCUGGGCUGGGGUCGGUGCACACAUGUCUUAGCUACUCUGGAGUUUCUGCUCAGUUCUCAGAGUGCCGGCUGUCUCCUAAAAAUGAUCCCUCCCUCCCACCGCCAACAGCCGUUCUUCCUCAGUGAGUCACUUCCAGAAAUGAAUAGCCGCAGAUUUUGGAAUGAGCAUUGUGAAAUCCCUCGUUUAUAAUGGCAGGUUUUCAGUUGGUGGCUUGAUCAGACAGUUUCUCAAGAUCAAAAUGAGACCUUGUCUUUAAAAAGAAAAAAAAUGGAAAAAAAAAAAAACAGAAAGUAAAUCCCUUGGAUUCAGAAAGCAAAAGUCUCCCACUGAAGAACUGUCAGAGCUGAUCUAGCCACCUCUGUAUCAAGUUGUGUGUCCUUAUAUUUGCCUGCAUGGAUGAGGAUUUGGAAUUACCGACCUCUCGCCAGUACUAGCUGGUGAUUUCCGAUGCAGAAGGUCACUAACGACAUGAAACGGCCCUCUUCUGGGGCAAGACCAGCCUGUGCUUGGGGAUCCUUGGGUGACCGAUCAACCGUGAGUAUGUGCGACAACGGUUUCUGGUUCUCAUUGAAUCUUGCCUAGAAACUUCUAAAUGGCAUUCUAUCUAAGGAAGAGCUUCUAAGAACUGUCUGUGCUAGUGUAUUUGUAAUACAUUUCACUUAUCAUGGAAAGUACUGUGGGUGUGAUCAUAACUACAAAACCAAACAUAACCUAUGGACAACUAUGGAAACUAAGUAUUCAGAUUUCUUUUGACCUUUAUAGCAUACAGAUAAAAAUGCAGUUUUGGUGUACUAAGUGCUUCUUUAUUAUUUAAAGCAUAAUAGGAAAUAGAUAAGUAUAUUGUAGGGAAAAAAAAAAACGAAAGAUGCGCAUUUGUGGCAAGUGAUGUAAUAUUUAUGUGAGAGAGACUUGUGAGUCCUGAUACCCUGAUUGUAUUCCAGUGCUAGCAAAUGAGCUUCACUCAUAAGAGAGCUUCGCUCUCAGAAGAGAGCGAAGAUGGUCUGCUGAACCUGUGUGAAAGCAGAGGCUGAGAGAAGAUGGCCAUGAGGCUGUAUAUACAGUCUGCCUCUGUCUCCUAAUCACAUCCUCAAAUUACAUCCUGGGGGUGCUUGAUGGGCGAUUCUGUGGGUGUUCUCAUUCUCCCACCAGAGGGCUGAGUAGAAGGUAGAGUCGGUGUGUCUAUUUAUUGAGUGGACUGAGUUAUGACCCAGUGCCUUAGAGUUACAGUUAUCAGUCUGUUCUGGAUGCUGAACCCCCUUGAGAUUCUGGUCAAGCCCAUGAAUUCCUUUGACUGCAUCGAUACACAACAUUUGGUUGUCCUUGGAGACAUCCAUAGACACAGAAAAGCCUCUGUGAUGUGCCAGGUGUAGGAGGUUGAGCUGGACCCUGGAGCCUUACCCUGGCUGGGCUGGUAGGCUUCCUAAAGAAUUGCUGUUAAGAGCAAGAAAUAACCAGGCCACAAGUCACUCCAUGAGGCUUCUGGGAGGAGAUCAGAGCCAGAGAAAAGGACAAAGGAUGGAGGACAUGUGACUACCAAUAAAUAUUAGAAAGUGCUUCUUGUUAGGAGUGUCACAUGUGGGGCCUGGAACCCUGUCUAUUUAGCCAGGUAACUAUUUAGUCAGGUAAUUAUGAGUUCAGGAUAGAGACCUAAAGACUCAUAGUAAGCAACUUUGACUAGUUUUUCUCAAAUUAAUUUUUCCUCAUCUUUUUUUACACCAUAAAAUCGGGAAGUCUUUCUCUCCUUCCCUCCCUCUUUUGUUAGUUUUUCCAUGGUGUAUGCCCCAAAUGAGGUAGGAGCACAAGGAUUUAACUCCUGACACUCAUAGAAAGUCAGAGAGAGAGUUACACUCCUGGGUAAGCGUGUGAGGACGUGUUGAAUGCAAAAGGAACAAUGUUUGAAAAAAAUCCAGUCUUUAUUGUUCAUUAGCUCCAUUGAAUACCUUCAGAGCCAUGGCGGAAAAGGAAGACGACAUGAAUCUUGAGUGUGUUAAAAGGAGUGUAACAUGAAGGCUAAAGGAUGGGUUUGACAUUAGUCAGAGCCACUGUACUCAGUUUGAGUCAUGCUCGAAGACAGAUGUUGGGCGAUUGUGAAGUACAGAUACCCAAUCAACAGAAUUGCACACCCUUCAAGGAAAAGAUAAGAAACAGAGGGUUUUAGUCGGAAGAAAAGGGAGGAUCUGUUGCUGACGGUCAUAUAUACUGACUGCUUGCUUUCUCGUCUCCUUGGGCCUCCAUGCUGCCCAUUUCCCUUCACGUGCAGCACAGUGCAUAGCUGCUGGUUUAGGAAUGCUUGUAACCCUUUAGUGAGAGCCUCACUGGGAGUAAAUACACCCAGAUAAAUCCAAAGAGCUCUUGCUAUGAUGUAGGAAUAAUUAAUGCGUCUUCUGGCUGUGGUAAAUAGGUAAGGUGAUAAAAUAGUUGAGCUGAGGGAUGCGAUGAAAUCUUAAGUGGGAAUUUUCUCAGAGUGGAAGAAAGUAAGUAACUAUUUUGAGUGGUAGGACAUUUAUUCUUCCAACAGUCACUCAGGGCCAAUUGUAGUAGACAAGUACAAAAGGAAGACUAUGGUGCUUGGUUACACUGCUGUGGGACAUAAAGCAGCAUGUGGUGGGGGCUUGUGACAUUCAACCACCACCCUGUGUGACCUCCUGAUGGAGUUGAAGUCCAGAAUGCCUCCUUAAAGGGCAGCCGUUGAGGUUAGCAAGAUGGAGUAAGUGGUGAGCCAUCCCCAUGAGGACCUGGUACAUAGGGGCACAGACCUAGGAGGUGUGCCAGAAGGCAUGGGUCCCAAAAGGAAUGAUGAGAGCAGACACUGGGGAAGCCCUUGUUUACACAAGACAAGUGUGCCACAAGUGGUGGCCUGAUGAUUUCCAAGAGGGUGGCCUGGUGGGAUGUACAACUUAGACAGAUAACCAGGCAGCAGUGAAGAGGACUUCAUUUGGAGUUUGUGCAGGUAAAUGGCUAAGGGAAGACAGGUCAGGCAGGGUAAAGAGACUCCUGAUGUGUAAGUAGGGGAUUCCCAAGAGAGCAAGCAGUAAGCAGAUGGGUAAGGCAAAAUUGGCGCAGUGGCCUAGUUGCUGUCCAGCAUCACUCACUGUGGAACCGUGGAACGAAAUGCCAGAGGGGAAUCCAGGCCCAGGGGAAGGAACAGGUGGCAUUGGCGUGGCAGAGCACACAAUGACUAGGUAAACGGAGACGUGAGAGAAAGAGUGAGUGGGAAGUCAGUUAACAGACAUGGACUUUGAAUUGGGUGAACAAACAAUUCAAAUGGUCUUGACUGGUAUGAACACCCAUUUCCAAAGCAAUAGUCAUUCUCUUGUCUUUUUUUUUUUUUU